ACCUGGGUAGCUCAGUUGGUUAAGUGUCUGACUUCAGCUCAGGUCAUGAUCUCACAUUUCAUGGGUUUGAGCCUCAUGUCAGGUU
rnacentral:tRNA from 1 species